UACAAACGUCAAUUCUUUAGAACAUGAAAUGUCGCGUCGUGUCGUGUCGCUUUAGUGCGGUCUUGUCUUAAAACAAAGGUGUUUUCUUUAAGU